rnacentral:rRNA from 1 species
AACAAACGCUGGCGGCGUGCCUAAUACAUGCAAGUCGAACGGGGAAAGCUUUCGGGUGAGUACUAGUGGCGCACGGGUGAGGAACGCGUGGAUAAUCUGCCUUAGAGUGGGGGAUAACUAGUCGAAAGAUUAGCUAAUACCGCAUAAGACCACAGGAGCUGCGGCUCAAGGGGUCAAAGGUUUUUCGCUCUAAGAUGAGUCCGCGUAAGAUUAGCUAGUUGGUGAGGUAACGGCUCACCAAGGCGACGAUCUUUAACUGGUCUGAGAGGAUGAUCAGUCACAAGGGAACUGAGACACGGUCCAGACUCCUACGGGAGGCAGCAGUAGGGAAUAUUGCACAAUGGAGGAAACUCUGAUGCAGCGACGCCGCGUGAGUGAUGAAGGCCUUCGGGUCGUAAAGCUCUGUCGCAGGGGAAUAACACAAUGAAGGUACCCUGUAAGAAAGGAUCGGCUAACUUCGUGCCAGCCGCCGCUGUAAGAC